CUAAGGUAGCAUAAUCAUUUGUUAUUUAAUUGGUAGCUAGAAUGAAAGGUUAAACUAGCUUAUUAGGUCUGUGAAGUUAGAUAGAAGAUUAAAGUUAAGGUAAGAAUUCUUUAAUUUUCUAGGGGACGAUAAGACCCUAGAAGCUUGACGAUAAGGGUGGUUAGUUUUAGAAAUUUGUUCGUUUUACUGGGGCGGUAAAGAUAAAUAAGCUAUUUUUUAUUUAAAUGAUCCUAAUAAUAUAGACAAGAUGGGUAAGUUACUCUAGGGAUAA
rnacentral:rRNA from 1 species